UACGUAGGGGGGCAAGCGUUGUCCGGAUUUAUUGGGCGUAAAGAGCGUGUAGGCGGUUAGGUAGGUCCGUUGUGAAAACUCGAGGCUCAACCUCGAGACGCCGGUUGAAACCAUCUGGCUAGAGUCCGGAAGAGGAGAGUGGAAUUCCUGGUGUAGCGGUGAAAUGCGCAGAUAUCAGGAAGAACACCCGUGGCUAAGGCGGCUCUCUAGUACGGUACUGACGCUGAGACGCGAAAGCGUGGGGAGCGAACAGG
rnacentral:rRNA from 1 species